ACGCACGCUGGCGGCGUGCCUCAUCCCUGCAAGUAGAACGCACAGUUUAUACCGUAGCUUGCUACACCAUAAACUGUGAGUUGCGAACGGGUGAGUAACGCGUAGGUAACCUGCCUGGUAGCGGGGGAUAACUAUUGGAAACGAUAGCUAAUACCGCAUAAUAUUGAUUAUUGCAUGAUAAUUGAUUGAAAGAUGCUAUUGCAUCACUACCAGAUGGACCUGCGUUGUAUUAGCUAGUAGGUGAGGUAACGGCUCACCUAGGCGACGAUACAUAGCCGACCUGAGAGGGUGAUCGGCCACACUGGGACUGAGACACGGCCCAGACUCCUACGGGAGGCAGCAGUAGGGAAUCUUCGGCAAUGGACGAAAGUCUGACCGAGCAACGCCGCGUGAGUGAAGAAGGGUUUCGGAUCGUAAAGCUCUGUUGUAAGAGAAGAACGGGUGUGAGAGUGGAAAGUUCACACUGUGACGGUAUCUUACCAGAAAGGGACGGCUAACUACGUG
rnacentral:rRNA from 1 species